rnacentral:tRNA from 1 species
GUUUUAAUAAUUUAACUAUAAAAUAUUGGUCUUGUAAACCAAAAAUAAGAUUUAUAUCUUUUAAAACU